UACUGCAGAUGCACAACGCAACACCAAUCCUUCUCGUUUUCUCGUAAUACUUGUCACCUUCUUUGUUUUCUCGUAAUACUUGUCACAACAAUCGACUUCAAUCUUAUUGAUCACAAUUUUUUUUUAUCUUCAACAAGUGUUGUGUUUUAACUUUUUUUUUUUGUGAUUAUACUAUUAAGACAUGUUUGGUUCGACGGAAUGGCCAUUCCAUUCCAUCCCUAUUCCACGUGCUACAAGGCGUAAACACUGCAUAUCCAUUUAGAGGGUCGGGCUCUAAAUGCCUAUUCAAUGCCUCUCGUAAUAGCUUUUCUUUUAUUUCAGAUAAAAAUCUCCUGCCACUCCACUCAUCAUUCUAGUAAUAAUAGCAAGAGAUCUUCUUGGGUUUUGCAUAAAAUGCAUAGAAGACUCUCUGUUUUAGGAUUUUGGGUGUGGCGAAUUUGUGUGUGCUGGAAAAUAUGGAGAAAUUGAUGUCGAAGGUGGAGCUUUCCAAAGAAAUGCGCACGUCUGCCAUCGUACAUCCCAGCGAUUAUGGGAACGGCAAGGCUCCGAUCAAUUAUCAACAAUUGUUGAAUAGAGAUUAAAGGUGUUGUUGCUGAAAUCCAGAAGGACAGAAACACUCCUCUUGUGCCAAAGAAUAUUAUGAGAAAUAUGUCAAGCCUAAAGAUGUUGUAGGAGCAGAAGAAGUGAAGUCAAGUGACAAAAAUUGUCUUGUGUUGUACAUGAUGUUCAGCUCUAGGAAAAUUCGAACACGACAGAACCGGGUAACAUGUGGAAAAAUUCCUACUUACCCCUCUUUGUCAUUACUUUCCAUGGAUGUUUGUGUAAAUUAAUCCAUUGUUGUUCAAUAAUUCAAAUAUUUAUCCACUGCUGAGACUUUAAAAAGCAAUUCUCCGAUAUGCUCCUACUCAUUGUGUGCCUGCAUCAAUUAUACUACCAUUUAUCAUGCUUUGUUAGUGUUCAUUUAUACAUUGGUUGAUCUAAGUUUGGUGAUAACUUGGUUGGCUACCAAUGCAAUUUGUAUCUCCCAUGUCUCCAACACUUUAUGGUGGAAUCCAUUUUGCAUGGCUUUUGAUUUGGUCUACAAAUUUUUGGUUGGCUAGGGUAGUCUCAUAGAGAAGUUAAAACAUGAGUUUGUUUGGUGUAUUAAUGUUUGAUAUUUUUCAUAUAUAUAAAAAUGAUAAUAAUUAUUGCUUUUGGAUCAGUAUUUGUAAUUUUGGCAACUAUGAUCCCAUGAGAUUAUGUUAUGAUUUUUAUUAAUUCAUAUUUUAAUAAAAAUUAUAUUAUGAAUGUUAUUAAAUUAUAUAUUUUUAUUUUUAUUUAAUUAUAUUUAGUAAUAAUUAUAUUAAAACAUGAUUAAAUUAUUUAUUAUUUUAAUAAUAAUCUUAGUAAAAUUUAAUAACAAUAAUUAUGUACUUAAAAAAUCUGUUAAGGGUACUCUGGUCAUUUCAGCUUUUUUUCUUAUACUAUUACAACAUCAUUCCAUCCAACCAAAUACAAGAACCAAACGUGCCCUUAGUAUUUAUUAAUUAAGAAAAUUAUGGUUUUAGUAUUUAAAGCAAUAUAUAAACAUUGAUAACAUCACACAAAAUAUAUAAAAGUGUUAUAAAUUAAGAGAAUUAUAGAAUAAACAAGAGAGAAGAGUAGGAAAAUCGAAAGAUGAUUCAUCUUUCACUUAAAUAUAAAAAUCCCAUACUUGACCCUAUUUAUAGGACUUCAAUCACAAUAGUUUACAAAAAAGAAUUAAGGCACUAUAUAAAUUAUUUAGGAGUUAUAAGAGAAUGGAUUUGGGAGGUUUGGGAAGCUAUAUGUACAUUCAUUUAUUAAUUGAUUUAUAAUAUUCUCCCUUGGAUGUUCAUUAACGGAAAUUUUCCCCGUUAAACCUUAUUAGGAAAAAUUUUGUAGGAUAAAUUUUGUAGGAUAAAAACCUAAUGAAUGAAAAAUGAUACACAAUCACUACUACAAGCUGUCAAGAAAAUCCAAUGGGACAAAACUUUUAUUAUUCUAUAAUCAAAGUACAUCUUUUAUACUCACUCUAAUGGCAACAUCACAGUACAUCUUUGAGUUGACGCAUUUCAAUCUUGUAUACUAGACUUUCAAAUGUUGUGAUUGACAAUGUCUUGGUAAAAAGAUCAGUCAAAUUAUCACUGUAAUGAAUUUGUUGAACUUUUAUAUCACAUUUGAAGCAACCACCGUUCAACUAAGAUUUACAUAUUGCAUUAUAUUGUAUAAGAUAAUUGACAUAUUUUUUUGCAGAAGCCAAUCAUAUAAAUUCUGGAUAUGUUAGGUCAAAAACCUUAGUCAAACACCUCUCGGCUUGCCUCAUGUAUUGCAAUUAUUUUUCCAUGAUUUGAAGAGGCAACAACUAAUGCCAACUUAAUUAAGAUCUUAAAUCACUUGAAUUGUUUGUGUGACCCAAAUUCUAAGGCCAUGUUUGGUUCAAUGUAAUGGCAUAGCCAUUACAACCCUAUUCUGUGGGCCCACCCUAAACACUUGUUUGGUUCAAUGGAAUGCCCUAUUACGGGUUUAUUCCAUUACGAGCCUAUGCAAUAAAAUUGUCUGAUUUCUGUGGAUUUCUAUUCCCUUCCCUCUUCACCGUUUACCUAUCCAUUGCCAUAUCAACCCUAUUUUACCCUCCCAAUCCAAAAGCUAUUUCUGCAAACUUAAAAAGGAAACUGCCAGCAAAGUCAAGGCUCCGAUUAUUCACUUUCAUCAUACGUUACGCGCACUUCAAGUUCUCUUAAUCUUCGCAUCUUUCGCCGGCUCCACCGUCUCAGAUCUCUGACCCAACUGUUUCGCUCUCUCUCUUAUUGGACUGAUCGAAGUCCAAGCUUCUUCACUUUAUUGGCGGCUAUUUUCAGGUUAUAUUUUCUUUUAUUCUAUACUUUUUUUUGUAUUUUCUUUGAUUUUUCUCUUCGUCUUUUAUACUAAUUGUAUCUUUAUAUUAACAUUUAAGCGGAUCAAUAACGCUAAUUAAUUUACAGAUUUGCUGAGUGUUUUUUGGGAAAUUAUGAUAAAAGAAAACGAGAUUUUGAGUUUUGGCUGUUAGAUUGGACCUUGUAAGUUACAGUUUGUUUGGUUAGUAGUUGAUCUGCUUGAUUAAGUGGUAAAUGGUUUAACUUGGAGAAGUGUUUUUUAACGUUGUGCUGAGAAGAGAUUAUUGAAAAGAAUUUGUGAUCGUAUCUGGAUUUUGAGCUACUUUGGAACUGAAUUAUUGUGCUGGAAAACUUUUAGGUGGAAAAGUUGGUUAAAUUCUAGGUUUGUGCAAUUUCUUUUUCUUCUUUUUUGUGGUUUUACUAGCAGUUUGCAGCGGCUAAUUUAACGUUACUAAACUUUAUAUCCAAUCUGUUUACAUGCAUGUGCAAUUUCAAGUUGGUUCUGACUUCUAAGUAUGAAUUUCCCGUGAUAUCAUUGAAUUUUGCCUAUGUCAGGCUGCAUUUAUAUGAUGAAAUGAAAGGUCUAAUUUACCCUCUCUCUUUUUUCUUUGCGGAUAUCAUGCGCAAUAAUGAAAUGCUACAAUCUGUGAGUUUACAGAAUUUAUCAUCAUUUGCAUUCCUAGGGGGUUCUUUUUUUUUUAUUAUUCUUUCACAUGCCAUAUUCUAUAUCUUGAAUGGGAGUCUUCAAAUGAUAUGGGAGACUACUUUGGGGAAAUAUAUUUAGAUUUAAGAUAAAAAUUAGAUGAAGCAAUAUGUUCUAUGGUAUAGAAGACUUAAGAUAUGCAUCAGAUGGACAUUUGGUUUGAGACAAUCCAAAGGCUUUCAUUUAUAUACAAGCCUCAAACUCACACAUAGUGGAAAAACCAAAUGACAUAGUGGAAAAACCAAAUGCAUUUUGCUUCUACUUUUUUGGUUCUGUGCUCUUCCUAUAUGUACUUUGACCUGACAAUUUUGGAUAUAGUACGAAAAUGUGACAUGGCCAUAGAAUGUCUAAUAGACAUGAAAACAAUGAAAUAAACACAAUAUUACAUUUUCAAACACAACUAACAUGACACAGUUAAUUCAUGUAUCAUAUUUGUGUUUAUGAUUUAACACAUAAGGUUCUUUUCUGAUUCCAAGUUUGUUGUUAUUCAAAGCCACUGAACUUCAUCAAAACUUAUAGUAUUAAGUUGUGGAAUUUUAAUGCUUUAGUAUUAGACUGAAAUGUAUUCAUUUAAUCCCUUGUUCUGCAAUUUUGCUUUCUUUUAUCAUUUGGAGUUUUAAUAUUUUAACACAAGUGAUGUCAAUUUCUUGUCUUGAUAACAUCUUUAUUAUUUACUGAUGCAGGUGGACAAACAAGUAUCAGUUAAGCAUCUUGUAUUCACUAAAUCACUGUAAGUUCUUUGGCAAUUAAAUUCUUUGAUUUUAUUUUAUUGUUAUUGAAAUUAGUAUUGGAGAAAUGUGACCUUUUUUACUACAAUUUGAAGAUAUGUAACACUUUAAUAUCUUGCAGUAAUGGCUCGUCUGCCUUUAAUAGUUCAAAGUGUGAGGCGUAAAAGAAUUGGUCUUGCAUUGACAAUAUGGUUGCAAAUGUGUACAGUUGCGAAUUGGUUCUUACUUACAUUGGGUGUCAUCCAUAGCCUACAUACUUAUAGACCAAAUAUUAGAUCAUAUAUUUUAGAUUUUUAUGUAAAACUAGAUUAUGUGAAAAGAUUUGUAUAUGCUAGUGGCGAGACCUGUAUUGAACAAGUUAGGAUGAAUAGAAUUACCUUUUUUUAAACUAUGUGAGAUGUUAUAAACUUUAGGGGGAUUGAAGUCGUCAAGGAACAUGCUUGUUGAUGAACUUGUGGCAAUGUUUUUACAUAUCAUUUCUCAUCACCUUAAAAAUUGAGUUAUCAAACAUCACUUUAAUAGGUUCAGGGAAACCGUUAGCAAAUCAUUUCACAAUGUUUUAAAUGCUGUCAUACGCUUACAAGAUGUGUUAUUUAAAAAGGCAGAGCCAAUUACAACUAAUUCUAUAGACCCAAGGUGGAAAUGGUUCAAUGUACUGGAGUGAGUUCUAUAUAUAGCUUGUAUAUAAUUUAGUUGAUCUAGAUUUAAAUAUAGUAUCCUAACUCAAGGUUUUAUACAUGUGAUGUAGAAUUGCUUAGGUGCUUUAGAUGGAACCCACAUCAAGAUUAGGGUUCCAAUAGUUGAUAAACUUAGAUAUCGAAUGCGAAAAGGUGACAUAACAACAAAUAUGUUAGGUGUUUGUACACCUGAUAUGCAUUUUGUUUAUGUUCUUCCUGGUUGGGAAGGUUCUAUUACUGAUGGACGGGUUCUUCGAGAUGCCAUUAGUAGAAGACAUGGACUAAAAGUUCCUCAUAGUAAAGUGCAACAUUAGAGGACUUUGAAUUAAUCUUUAAGAUAAUACUUUUUGGGGAAAUUAACCAUGACAAAUAAUUUUUUUAUAGGUUGUUAUUAUCUAAUUGAUGCUGGAUACACAAAUUGUGAGGGAUUUCUUACACCUUUUAGAGGACAAAUAUAUCAUUUGAAUGAGUGGCGUUAGGGUUACCAGCUAAGUACUCUGGAAGAAUUUUUGAAUAUGAAACAUGCUUCAGCACGUAAUGUUAUUGAAAGAUGCUUUGGGUUAUUAAAACUUAGAUGGGGAAUACUUAGGAGUCCAUCAUUCUAUCCUGUGAGGGUGCAUAAUAGAAUCAUUAUUGCAUGUUGUUUGUUCCAUAAUUUUAUUCGAACCUAUAUGAAUCUUGAUCCUAUUGAAGCGGAGUUGGGAGAAGGAUUAUCUAGUAAUGUGAUAGAUGACGAUGAAUCGAAUAUCGUAAAUAUUCAUCCAUCGGAUGCAUGGGCUACUUGGAGGAUGGAACUAGCCAACCAAAUGUUCGAUGAAUGGCAAACAUCUAGAUAUUAGUUAGGUUUAGGGUAAAAAUAGUAAACGUUAAUUUGUUUAUGUUAUUUCAUGUAUCUAGUUUACGAAACUUUGGUGGUGUUUGAAUUGUUUUUUGUAUUGUACAAGACUUGUUGAAUUAUAAUUUAUUUUCUUUUGAUUCAUCAUGUGUUAUAAUUUUAUAAAGUGUUGACCUUUUGAUUCAUAAUAUUGAACUUAAUUUUAAUUUGUUUUUUUUCUUAAGAUAGUUAUGUCAGGUUUUUCACAAUCAAGUGUUUCUUCUCAAAAUUCUCGAGGAACCAAAAGGAAAUGGGUUCCAGAAUAAGAUGUUGUAUUGGUUGCCUGUAUGGUCGACUUGCACAAUGUUAGAACCUUUAAUGCUGAUACGGGAUUCAAAGUUGGUUAAUUAAAUGAGUUGGAAAAAAUGUUAGAAAAAGUUUUACCCAAUGCCAUGUUGAAGGCUAAACCUAAUCUUGAAUCGAGGAUUAGGACAUUGAAAAGUGAUUGGUCAAUUGUUUAUGACAUGCUUAGUGGAAAAAACAAUAGCGGUUUUGGCUGGGAUGAACAUAGGCAGCUUGUCGUUGCUGAAGAUGCGGUAUGGAACUCAUAUAUAAAUUCAUAAAGAAGCCGGUCAAUUCAAAUAUCGUAGUUUCCCUUAUUAUGACCAAUUUACUGCCAUCUACGCAAAAUAUCGAGCCACUGGGAAAGAUGCUCAAACAGUCGCUGAUAUUAUUAAAGAAAUAGAUGUUGAGGAUGUAGCUACUACAAAUAUUCAUGAAGAAAGAAAUGAUUUCUAUGGAUGCGAAGCUGAUGUUUCUUUAGAUGACAUGGAUGUUUCAGCUACACAACCGCAACCAGCUAGAAACCAAUGUGAUUCCACAUUUUCAAAAAAAGAAAAAAAAAUUUAUGAUGCAAGUGAUCAUAUUUCUUCUACUUCACUUCAUGAUGCUGCCACUUUAUUGGUGAAAAACAUACGGACCGUUGGCGUUGAAAUCAGUAGGAGUAUUUCCUCCAAAGUGCUAAUUCAACAAAAGUCAGAAAUGACCAUUCAAGAAAGAGGUCUAAAUUUAUAUCCAACAUUAUAUGAAGUAGAAGGUUUAACUGAGGAUGAGUGCUAUCGCGCAUUGAGCAAAAUUUCAGAUCAUCCAACGCAAAUGCUCAUUUUCUUUGGUUUACCUUCUUCUGUGCGACUGGAAUGGGUCAGAAGAUUUCUUGCUGACCAUUAAAAAUCAUGGUUGUGUUGAUGAUAUUUUGGUAACUUUUUGUGUUUGUAAUAUUUGGAUGGUAUAAUGACAUGAUAGAAUGUCAUUACAAUGUUGUAACUUUUUGAUGUUGUAAAAUUUUAUAACAUAUGGAUUAUGACAUAUAAACUAAUGAAAUCAUGUAACUUUUUGUUAAUAUAUGAAUAUUAUGUUUGGAUGUG